rnacentral:rRNA from 1 species
GACGUAGGGCGCGAGCGUUGUCCGGAUUUAUUGGGCGUAAAGAGCGUGUAGGCGGCCAGGUAGGUCUGCUGUGAAAACUCGAGGCUCAACCUCGAGACGUCGGCGGAAACCAUCUGGCUAGAGUCCGGAAGAGGAGAGUGGAAUUCCUGGUGUAGCGGUGAAAUGCGCAGAUAUCGGGAGGAACACCGGUGGCGAAGGCGGUUCUCUGGGCCUUACCUGACGCUGAGGAGCGAAAGCGUGGGGAGCGAACAGG